UACGACCAUAUCACGAUGAAAUGCCGGUUCCGGUGCGAUCAUCGAAGUUAAGCAGCUUCGAGCCUGGUCUAUAGUUAGAUAGAUGACCGCUUGGAAAUACCAGGUGAU